CCUACGGGAGGCAGCAGUAAGGAAUAUUGGACAAUGCUCGCAAGAGUGAUCCAGCCAUGCCGCGUGCAGGAAGAAUGCCCUAUGGGUAGUAAACUGCUUUUGAACUAGAGAAAACCCCAGUACGUGUACUGGGCUGAUAGUAUAGUUAGAAUAAGCAUCGGCUAACUUCGUGCCAGCAGCCGCGGUAAGACGAAGGAUGCAAGCGUUAUCCGGAUUCAUUGGGUUUAAAGGGAGCGUAGGUGGACUGAUAAGUCAGUGGUGAAAUCUCCGAGCUUAACUCGGAAAUUGCCAUUGAUACUGUUGGUCUUGAGUACAGUUGCUGUGGGCGGAAUAUGACAUGUAGUGGUGAAAUACAUAGAGAUGUCAUAGAACACCGAUUGCGAAGGCAGCUCACAAAGCUGUAACUGACACUGAGGCUCGAAAAGUGCGGGGAUCAAACAGGAUUAGAUACCCUGGUAGUCCGCACCGUAAACGAUGAUUACUCGCUGCUAGGGGGCGAACCUUUAGUGGCUUAGCGAAAGCGAUAAGUAAUCCACCUGGGGAGUACGCCGGCAACGGUGAAACUUAAAGGAAAUUAGACGG
rnacentral:rRNA from 1 species